UAAUUAACUCUUUUUGAAAAUGGAGAAGCUAAUUAGUAGUAGUACUGUUUUGCUAUCUUUGGUCCUCUUCAUCACCGUAGCCGCAGUUGCCAACGCACAGCAGUGUGGGAGGCAAAAGGGCGGAGCGUUAUGUGGGGGGAACUUGUGUUGCAGCCAAUUCGGGUGGUGUGGAUCGACAGCGGAAUAUUGUUCACCUAGCCAAGGCUGCCAGAGUCGCUGCAGUGGCAGUGGAUCAACCCCAACUCCAAGUGGUAGCGCGCAAAACGUUCGUGCAACGUAUCAUUUAUAUAACCCGCAGAAUGUUGGGUGGGACUUGAAUGCCGUUAGUGCUUACUGUUCAACUUGGGAUGCUAAUAAGCCUUUGGCCUGGCGGAAGAAAUAUGGUUGGACUGCUUUCUGUGGUCCAGUCGGACCUCGUGGUCGAGACUCAUGCGGAAGGUGCUUAAGGGUGACAAAUACACGUACAGGAGCUCAGACAACAGUGAGAAUCGUGGAUCAAUGCAGCAACGGCGGACUAGACUUAGACGUUAACGUUUUCCGGCAGAUCGAUACAGACGGAAUUGGAAAUCAACAAGGCCAUCUUAUUGUGAACUACCAGUUUGUUGAUUGUGGUGAUAAUUAAUCUGAAUCAUCAAAUAAAUCAUAGUAUAGCAACUGUUUUGAAAAUGGAGAAGCUAAGUAGUAGUACUAUUUUACUAGCUGUGGUCCUCUUCAUUAGCAUAGGCGCAGUUGCUAACGCACAGCAGUGCGGAAGGCAAAGGGGCGGAGCGUUAUGUGGGGGGAAUUUGUGUUGCAGCCAAUUCGGAUGGUGUGGAUCGACACCGGAAUAUUGUUCACCUAGCCAAGGUUGCCAGAGCCAGUGUAGUGGAAGUGGACCAAUUCCAACUCCAGGGGGCAGCGCGCAAAACGUUCGUGCAACAUAUCAUUUAUAUAACCCGCAGAAUGUUGGGUGGGACUUGAAUGCGGUUAGUGCUUACUGUUCAACUUGGGAUGCAAAUAAGCCUUUGGCCUGGCGGAGGAAGUAUGGUUGGACUGCUUUUUGUGGUCCAGUCGGACCUCGUGGCCAAGCCUCAUGCGGCAAGUGCUUAAGAGUGACAAAUACACGCACCGGAGCUCAGACGACGGUGAGAAUCGUGGAUCAAUGCAGUAACGGGGGACUAGAUUUAGACAUUAACGUUUUCCGACAAAUCGACACAGAUGGAUUAGGAAAUCAACAAGGUCACCUUAUUGUGAAUUACGAAUUUGUUGACUGUGGUGACAAUGUGAAUGUUCCUCUAAUUAUGUCUGUAGUUGACAAAGAAUAAAAAGCAGCUACGUGGUUGAUCAAUUUAGUCUGAUGAUUGUAUAAAAGUCAUCUUUGACCAUUCAAAUAAAAAUAAAAGAAAAAAAUGAAAGAAAAAAUAAAGGUUACUUUUAAGGGGUUAAGCUAUUCCAUAUGAUCUGUUGAUCAUCAUGAAUUUGUUCAUGUAAGAAAGAAUGAGAUGAAGUGUGUAUUGUCUUUGUGAUCAUUUUGUGUACUCGAUUAUUUUGAAUUUUAAAUACAAAAUUCCAACAACUCUUGUUUGGGAAUUGAGUUGGGACAA